AUACGUAGGGGACAAGCGUUGUCCGGAAUGACUGGGCGUAAAGGGCGCGUAGGCGGUCUAUUAAGUCUGAUGUGAAAGGUACCGGCUCAACCGGUGAAGUGCAUUGGAAACUGGUAGACUUGAGUAUUGGAGAGGCAAGUGGAAUUCCUAGUGUAGCGGUGAAAUGCGUAGAUAUUAGGAGGAACACCAGUGGCGAAGGCGGCUUGCUGGACAAAUACUGACGCUGAGGUGCGAAAGCGUGGGGAGCGAACAGGAUUAGAUACCCUGGUAGUCCACGCCGUAAACGAUGAAUGCUAGGUGUUGGGGAAACUCAGUGCCGCAGUUAACACAAUAAGCAUUCCGCCUGGGGAGUACGACCGCAAGGUUGAAACUCAAAUGAAUUGGCGGGG
rnacentral:rRNA from 1 species